rnacentral:tRNA from 1 species
GGCUAUAGCUCAGUGGCAGAGUGCUUGCCUAGCAUGCAUGAGGCACUGGGUUCAAUCCUCAGCACCA